rnacentral:rRNA from 1 species
AUACGGAGGAUGCAAGCGUUAUCCGGAUUUAUUGGGUUUAAAGGGUGCGUAGGCGGACGUGUAAGUCAGGGGUGAAAUACCGGGGCUCAACCUCGGAACUGCCUUUGAUUCUGCAUGUCUGGAGUUCGGAUGCCGUGGGAGGAAUGGGCAGUGUAGCGGUGAAAUGCAUAGAUAUCACGAAGAACGCCGAUUGCGAAGGCAGCUUACUAAGCUGUUACUGACGCUGAGGCACGAAAGCGUGGGGAUCAAACAGGAUUAGAUACCCUGGUAGUCCACGCUGUAAACGAUGAUUACUGGUUGUUAGCGAUAUAUAGCUAGUGACUGAGCGAAAGCAUUAAGUAAUCCACCUGGGGAGUACGUCGGCAACGAUGAAACUUAAAGGAAUUGACGGGG